UGGAGAUAGAGAGAAUCCAUGUGUUUCCAAGCACUCGCAGACAAAAUGAGCUUCAGAGAUGAAAAGCAACCUUUGCUUUACGACCCAGAAAAGGAGAUUUCAAAACCACCAGAAGGGUUAGCUUGGGAAAUUGCGUGGUUACUAACCCAACCACACCCCAUUUUCUCUUCUCUCUCGCUCUCACUCUCAGAUCAUGGUGUCUAUAUUUAGUUGCAAGCUGGGGUGCAACUACAACCCCACAUCUUUCCUUCUUUCCCUCUUAAAAUUCUACAUACAAACCCCACAAAAAAAAACUUCCGCCACCCUCCCUUCCCUCAAGUUUUAGCCACUGGCUUGCUUGUUUUAUGCCAAUUCAGAAGGGCUUUGUGGGGCUUUGAGACUCCUCUCUAGGUAUUUGAUUAUGACCCAGUUCCUAUUUUCCACAGAUCUCUCUCCAUAAAUACCAAUAUCCUCUCCUUUCUCCUUCCCUUCAACAUCACUUUCAUCUCUCUCUCCGUAAAUACUAUCUCCAUGGAAGUUUGCUUGACUUACUGUGCACUUCAAGCUCAUGCUCAUACGCUCAUACAUAAGCAUAUGAUCAUCACAUACAUGUACAACAAUCAUAUAUAGGUUUGCAUAUGCAUGCUUUAACAUCAAGCAUACAUGUAUAUUUUAUGUGCCUGGCUCCCUGUAUGCCAUUUGCAGAGCCCACCGGAGAAUCGAUGGCCUCCGUGGAUGGCGUAUGAGGAGCCAUGCAUAUUCUCAUAUGUGUCAUCCAUGGUGUAUUUGCAGGAAUAUUACUGAAGAAGCUAGCCUAGCUAUUAAUUAGUUAUAAUUAAUAGGCCUAGUUAAAGCUUCAAGGGGCAUCAUUGUAAUUUCGAAAAGAUUCAGGUUCUCCUCUGAAGCUUUAGCAGGCCAUUUGGUACAUAUGAAGAAACACACAAAUGACAACCCCCACUUGCUCUAGGGCCCUUUUCUGAUCUUUUUGGCUUUGCUUUUUGUAUUAAAAAUCAAAAUCAAAUGGAAUUGAAGAUGAAUAGUAAAAUGCAGCAAAGGGUUCAUUGAUUUAUCUUAUCAA